UCCCUGGUGGCUCAGAAGGUAAAGCAUCUGCCUGCAAUACAGGAGACCUGGGUUCGAUCCCUGGGUUGGGAA
rnacentral:tRNA from 1 species